rnacentral:rRNA from 1 species
CCUACGGGAGGCAGCAGUGGGGGAUAUUGCACAAUGGGGGGAACCCUGAUGCAGCGACGCCGCGUGGGUGAAGAAGCGCCUCGGCGUGUAAAGCCCUGUCAGCAGGGAAGCAAAAGACGGUACCUGAAGAAGAAGCCCCGGCUAACUACGUGCCAGCAGCCGCGGUAAGACGCCGGGGGCAACCGUGAUCCGGAUUUACGGGGUGUAAAGGGGGCGCAGACGGCGAGGCAAGCCAGGAGGGAAAGCCCGGGGCCCAAACCCGGGACUGCUCUUGAAACUGCGUGGCUGGAGUGCAGGAGGGGCAGGCGGAAUGCGUGGUGUAGCGGUGAAAUGCGUAGAUAUCAGGAGGAACACCGGUGGCGAAGGCGGCCUGCUGGACUGCAACUGACGUUGAGGCCCGAAAGCGUGGGGAGCGAACAGGAUUAGAUACCCCAGUAGUC